rnacentral:rRNA from 1 species
UACGUAGGGGGCAAGCGUUGUCCGGAAUCAUUGGGCGUAAAGAGCGCGUAGGCGGCCAACUAAGUCAGACGUGAAAUCCCUCGGCUUAACCGGGGAACUGCGUCUGAUACUGGAUGGCUUGAGUUCGGGAGAGGGAUGCGGAAUUCCAGGUGUAGCGGUGAAAUGCGUAGAUAUCUGGAGGAACACCGGUGGCGAAGGCGGCAUCCUGGACCGACACUGACGCUGAGGAGCGAAAGCCAGGGGAGCAAACAGG